rnacentral:rRNA from 1 species
CCCGAAAGAUCGAACGGGGAGAUUCAUCGUCGGCGGCGUCGGCUUCGCCGCGGCUCGCGAUGUCGCGUACCUCUCGGGGUACGGGGCACGUGGUCGCGUCGCGUUAUGUCCGGCGACGUGGGCGUGCACUUCUCCCCCGGUAGAACGUCGCGACCCGUUGGGCGUCGGCAUAAGGCCCGCACGGCACAGACUGUCCCGGCGUUAACCGCGUCCGGGGCAGACCGUCGCGGUUCGCCCGGCCGGCUGCCCGACGGUACACGCACGGUAUUUGGCCGCAUCGAACGUGCGCCCGGCCCGCCGCAAGCGCGGCCAGCGAUUCCCGGUGGUCGGACCCAGCGCCGUCCCCGGGUCUGGUCAGCUGUUGGCGCGCGGUGUCCUCGGGCUGGCCAAUCGAAUUUACACAGAAAUACCGGUCGGCGACGCUAUUGCUUUGGGUACUUUCA